UUCAACAGUCAAGCAACUCAUCCAUCCAUCCACUUCCAUUGUUGUCCAUCAUGUUUUAAGUCUGUACUAGUUAGGCCCUCAAUGGAACAUUCUGUGAAAAGGAAACUGUCGAAAGUUAUGAUCUUUGAUCUUCCAACACAUUUCCUCUACCGAUUAAACGUCUUCUAUCUUCGUUGGCUGCUAUUGUGGCUUUUGGAGGGGGUUUCUCAAUCCAAACCCUUGGUUCCAUCCACUAUUUCCCUUUCUCAGCCAGAGCAUGCGUCAAGUGGUUUGCCUUCCUUCCGACAAAAUAGCAAGUAAAUAGUUCAAAUCUUUAUGCCCUUUUUUUUUAUUUCUUGUACGAUCGCUGCAAUGCUGGACUUAUCCUCAGAUUUUGACUGGAUUUUUUUAUGACGGUAAAUGAGUCCCCCUCUAUUGCAUCGGCUACAAAAUGACUCUGCCAUCAAUCCCGAGCCCUUGCAAAGUAUCUCUGGCUGUUGUGCAUUCCUAAAAGAUGUGGCUAAUCGGUUCCUUCUCAGAUUUGCAAAAGGUGCAAAUGUCCACCACUGACAGCUUUCUAGAUUAGAAAUUGCUUAGAGUAGGGAUAUAGUUGUGUAUUAAUCGCUAAAUUGUAAUUUUUAUUUUGCUUGCCACCUUCAGGUUCCAUAAUCUGUUGUAAGAUUUCUUUUGAUUUAUCGUUUGUGUUGAGUCUUCCCUUUGA